UCCAUCUCAAAAAAAAAAAAAAAAAUUGGAAUGAUACAGAGAAGAUUGGCAUGGUCCCUGUGUAAGGAUGACAUGCAAAUUUGUAAAGUGUUCCAUAAAAAA